rnacentral:rRNA from 1 species
UACGUAGGGUGCAAGCGUUGUCCGGAAUUAUUGGGCGUAAAGAGCUCGUAGGCGGUGCGUCACGUCGGCCGUGAAAACCUGCAGCUUAACUGUGGGCGUGCGGUCGAUACGGGCAUCACUGGAGUUCGGCAGGGGAGACUGGAAUUCCUGGUGUAGCGGUGAAAUGCGCAGAUAUCAGGAGGAACACCGGUGGCGAAGGCGGGUCUCUGGGCCGAUACUGACGCUGAGGAGCGAAAGCGUGGGGAGCAAACAGG